rnacentral:rRNA from 1 species
UACGUAGGGUGCAAGCGUUGUCCGGAAUUAUUGGGCGUAAAGAGCUCGUAGGCGGUCUGUCGCGUCGGCUGUGAAAACCCGGGGCUUAACCCCUGGCUUGCAGUGGAUACGGACAGACUAGAGGUAGGUAGGGGAGAAUGGAAUUCCCGGUGUAGCGGUGAAAUGCGCAGAUAUCGGGAGGAACACCGGUGGCGAAGGCGGUUCUCUGGGCCUUACCUGACGCUGAGGAGCGAAAGCGUGGGGAGCGAACAGG